AUUGUCCUUUGAUGGAUACCGAAACUCGUAAAAGUUUUCCACUUCUUUCAGCCUUUUCCAUUUCCUCGUCCAUUCCUCUUUCCCAAUGCUCCUAAUAAGGUUUAUGAGGAAAUUCUUUUUGAGAGCAUCCGAUAUACGGACGAAUAUGCAGAAUUCAGAAUAGUCGAGAACAUCUUCAUAGGGAAGCUCAAUAUCAUCGCUAAUUAUGACAGGGACACAGUGGCUGGCAAUUGCAUUGAUAACAAUUAAGCGUGGUAUCUGGAUCCUAAAAGAUAAUGAUGCUUGUCUGCUUAUCAGUUUCUCCGAAACUUCCAUACGUGCUGGUUAGUAAUAGAUUAAGUAUUUUGAAUCGAAAAGUUAUCUUUUUCUAUGCUUCUAAGCUUUCUUGGUUUUUGCUCAGGAACAUAGGUUACGGCUUGGACAGAAAGCUAUAUUUCACCUGGAAGGUAUGUCAGAAAAUUGUCUGAAGUCUUGUUAGAAUGAGUAUAUGGCAGAAUUGUGUGCUACUUAUGUUUUAUGUACUUCUGUGAUUAGUUAUCUACAGUUCAACAGCCAUCGAGGCCAAACUAGUGAAGACUAUAAUAAACCAAAAAUUGUAGAUGGCACAUUCUCUGUCUCCGGUGUUUCAAAAUUGCACAUCACCCCCCACACAUUCCAUAUUUUGAAAAUACUCAAAUUACCUUUUUAACAUACUAUGUAUCUAGGGAUGCCCAAUAAGCACUUGGGUUUGAUUUUUCUGAAGUGUGUGGCAAUAAUGUGCCUAAUGGUUUUUGUACUAUUUUAAGUAAGUUAAGACAAGAAAUGGGGGUUAAGACUAAAACCAACUAUAGUCAAUAGAUGGAGGGUAGUGAACUUGGUUAGAAACUAUAUGGGAAAUUGUCCAUCUUUUAAGCAAAAGGACUGUGCACCCAUCACAUGGAAUAAAAUGCUCUUUUCUCAACAGGAAAAGAGUAAUAUCCCUGGAUAAUCAUGUAUUUCGAAUUAUAGCUCCUGAUAUUUAUGCGCAUUACAUUGGAAUCCUGAAGCACCACCACAAAGGUGCGCAAUGCCUGCCUGCAGUUUGGCACCAGCAGCCAACUCUGGCGGUAGCAUAUUUUCCCCAUUUUCCGUAUAUUUUGAGAAGCUUUAUCACUUCUUUAAAAGCAUCAGAGUUGUUGACUCAUUGUUCCCAUUUUUAUCUUUUAACUAGUUUGCUUCAGAAACUUCCUGAUUUUGAGAAACCAAAUCCAAGUGUCUUCCAGUAUUACCAAAGAGUGCUGUCUCUUCUUUUAGACCUAAUGAAGUUUUAGUUUCUCUAAGGCAGUGUUUAAAUGUCUAAGAAUCUUAUGCGUCUUCAAACGAUAGGAUAUGUGCUUAGCACGUCCCAUAUUGAGUUUUUGGGCUCCAACUGUUCAGAAUGUAUUAAUAUCGAACGGAGCAUCACACUUCCAAAAACUUCAUCUUUUUUAUUAAUUCACCAAUUUUAUAUUCUGUGACUGAAAUCAUGCUUCAAAUAUGAUUUAUUGCAAUAAUGUGAUUGAUUGAUGUUUUAUUUCAUUGCACAUAUUUUCAUAUGUUUUUUUCUGGAAUGACGUGCAUGUCUAUAUCUUAUGUAACUUUACUUCAGCAAUUUAGAAUCUUAGCAGUAUAAUUCAGAGAUUAUGUAUUGCUACUACUGGAAUUUUAUGUAAUCAAUCUUGCAGCGUUUGUGGCCAAGUUUAUGAGCAUCUACAAGGGUUUCCUGAUUGAGACAUUUGGCUGAAAUUAGAUGAAGAAAGGAUAUGAUUUUGUCAUCUAUUUGCUAUAGUUUGAUUUGGAUGUGGACAAAUCGUUCUGUGAUAGAUUCUCUGCUUGUGCUACAUUGCGUUGAAAAUCUUGGUUGACUGGAUUCUUAUCAUUUUCAUGUAUUUAAUUUAUUUCCAUAAUUCUCUAGUCACUGCUUUUAUUGUUUCUUUGGUCUUACGCCCAGUAUUUGCAUUAUAAAAAACAGAAAUCUUUAAAAGAUUUUCUUCAUAUUUUUCCAAGAUAACUCAAUUUCUAUCUUUUGUUUAACACUGACCAGCCAAAAACAAAAAACUACCAGUGUGUAAUGGAUAAUUUUUAAGAUGUAAUUUAAACUCAUGCGGUUUUUCUGCUGAAAAAUGUCAAUAAGAGCCUGGGGGCAGCCUUCUCCCUUUUCCUAGGCAGGCAAGCCCGAAACAGCUAGCGCGCACGUUCAUGGGUCGAAAGCUAAACAAUAUUUGCAUAUAAUCACAUCAUUAGUGUACUUUUUGAUAAUAUAUAUUAUACGUCUAACUGUUGGUGAACUUGUCGUGCUGUAUGGGAAGAACACUUUCACAACCAAGAACUAGUGAUUCAUCGAGUACAUCAGGCCUUAGAAAAAGAUAAAAAUACCAAAGAUGAUGCAAUUCUUACACAAUGUACAAUGUUCAUCUAAUGGAUCAUCCAUGAAUUCAAGUUCUUGGCAAGGCAGAAUUCAAAUGCUGGCUGCGUGCCUUCAUCUAAUAAUUGGUCCGUGCAAAUAAAACUACACUUGGCCAACAAUAUUGAACAACUCAACAGAGAAACAAAUGAACAAAAUUGAUCAACUAUUUCUACUGUGAUGAAACAUAACCAAAAUUGAAUCCCAUUUUUACCUAUUCAUUUCUUCAAUUUUUUCGGUCAUGAUCAUUCUCUCUACCGAACACUUGCAUUUACACGCAGGGUUUCCACCAUCUUCAACACACAAAUCUUGAUAUCUCAAAAAGUUUCAAGACCUAAUCAACGGUCACCAAAAAUUUCUUGGGAUAUCGACCGACAUAACCUCUCCUUGUCCAGAAACAAUAGUACGAGAAAACCGCCUAGCCCUAUGAAGCUUCCUUUUCAUAGCCGGAACCUUUCUAGAAACAGCUUGCCAUAUCAUCUGAACAGCAUCAUUGUCCUUUGAUGGAUACCGAAACUCGUAAAAGUUUUCCACUUCUUUCAGCCUUUUCCAUUUCCUCGUCCAUUCCUCUUUCCCAAUGCUCCUAAUAAGGUUUAUGAGGAAAUUCUUUUUGAGAGCAUCCGAUAUACGGACGAAUAUGCAGAAUUCAGAAUAGUCGAGAACAUCUUCAUAGGGAAGCUCAAUAUCAUCGCUAAUUAUGACAGGGAC
rnacentral:lncRNA from 1 species